rnacentral:rRNA from 1 species
GACGAACCUUGCUAACGUUAUUCGGAAUUACUGGGCGUAAAGCGCGUGUAGGCGGUUGCCCAAGUCGGGUGUGAAAGCCUUGAGCUCAACUCAAGAAAUGCACUCGGUACUGGGUGACUAGAGGACCGGAGAGGAUAGUGGAAUUCCCAGUGUAGUGGUGAAAUACGUAGAGAUUGGGAAGAACACCAGUGGCGAAGGCGGCUAUCUGGGACGGUUUU